GGACACAUAGCUGACAGAGGAUUCAAACGACAAGAUAGAAGAUAAAACAUUCUGGCUCUGGUUGCUUCCUCUCUGCUUCUUGCAGCUGUCCUAACCUGGAGGAGUAACUAAAUAUGAAUGAGGACUCAGAAGCAAACCUGAAAAGUCUACGGGGAACAGGGACAUGGAAGGAGCAGAACCAGGCUAGGAGUGGGGACAUUUGACCAGGCUUGUCCUGAACUUGUCCCUGAACUCCCCUUCAUAAUGAAAGAAGUCCCUCUUUCCUGUCUGCUGACACUAACUUUCCCUUGCUUAAAACCCUGUAUAACCACAUAUUAACAUUGGCCUCCCAGGGUUGUCCCCAUCCCUCAUAAGCCCCAGUCCCUGCCUCAUUCAGAGCCACAGGAGUAGAGUGGAUAGGAAGUGUCUCAUAUUCCAAGAGAAUCACAAUAUUUUAAAAUUUACAUUGGAAUAAACUGAAUAUUACAUAUGGAGUGGAUUCUAAAGGUAUUGGAUUGGAUUGAGCCCUGACUGUCACUUCCUGGAUUCUUUAGACUCACCA